GAGGAAUAAGCAUCGGCUAACUCCGUGCCAGCAGCCGCGGUAAUACGGGGGAUGCAAGCGUUAUCCGGAAUCAUUGGGCGUAAAGCGCCUGUAGGUUGUUUAAUAAGUCUGUUGUUAAAGACUAGGGCUCAACCCUAGGAAAGCAAUGGAAACUACUAGACUUGAGUAUGAUAGGGGUAGAGGGAAUUUCUAGUGUAGCGGUGAAAUGCGUAGAUAUUAGGAAGAACACCGGUGGCGAAGGCGCUCUACUGGAUCAUUACUGACACUCAGAGGCGAAAGCUAGGGUAGCAAAAGGGAUUAGAUACCCCUGUAGUCCUAGCCGUAAACGAUGGAUACUAGAUGUUGCGUUUAUUAUGCAGUAUCGUAGCUAACGCGUUAAGUAUCCCGCCUGGGGAGUACGCUCGCAAGGGUGAAACUCAAAGGAAUUGACGGGGGCCCGCACAAGCGGUGGAGCAUGUGGUUUAAUUCGAUGCAACGCGAAGAACCUUACCAAGGCUUGACAUACUACAAAUUUCUUUGAAAGAGGAAAGUGCCUUCGGGAAUGUAGAUACAGGUGGUGCAUGGCUGUCGUCAGCUCGUGUCGUGAGAUGUUGGGUUAAGUCCCGCAACGAGCGCAACCCUUAUUUUUAGUUGCUAAUUUAUUAGGUUUUCUAGAAAGACUGCCGGUGACAAACCGGAGGAAGGUGAGGAUGACGUCAAGUCAGCAUGCCCCUUAUGCCUUGGGCUACACACGUGCUACAAUGGUUAAGACAAAGAGUUGCGAGCUCGCGAGAGUCAGCUAAUCUCAUAAACUUAGCCUAAGUUCGGAUUGUAGGCUGCAACUCGCCUGCAUGAAG
rnacentral:rRNA from 1 species